rnacentral:misc_RNA from 1 species
GAUGAAGAACGUAGCAAAAUGCGAUAAGUAAUGUGAAUUGCAGAAUUCAGUGAAUCAUCGAAUCUUUGAACGCACAUUGCGCCCGCUGGUAUUCCGGCGGGCAUGCCUGUUCGAGCGUCAUUUCAACCCUCAAGCCCCCGGGUUUGGUGUUGGGGGACGGCCUGGCCUUCUGCGCCGCGCCGCCCCCGAAAUGAAUUGGCGGCCUCGUCGCGUGCCACCCCUGCGUAGUAGCACAACCUCGCAACGGGAGCCCGACGCGGCCACUGCCGUAAAACGCCCAACUUUUAAGAGUUGACCUCGAAUCAGGUAGGAAUACCCGCUGAACUUAAGCAUAUCAAUAAGCGGAGGA